rnacentral:rRNA from 1 species
UCAUUUGUCUAUUAAUUGUAGACCCGUAUGAAAGGCAUAAUGAGGGUUUAACUGUCUCUUUUAGUAAAUCAAUUAAACUGAUCUCCUAGUCCAAAAGCUAGGAUACCAACAUAAGACCAGAAGACCCUGUGAAACUUUAACUAAAAUAUUAAAACCUAUAAUAUCUACUUUAGGUUGGGGCGACCUUGGAAAAUAAAAGAACUUCCACAUACACAUUAUACAUAAUGUACCACCGGCCAACAAGCCUACAACGACCCAGCACAGCUGAUAAUUGAACCAAGCUACUCCAGGGAUAACAGCGCUAUCUUCUUCAAGAGCCCAUAUCAAAAAGAAGGUUUACGACCUCGAUGUUGGAUCAGGACAUCCUAAUGGUGCAACCGCUAUUAAGGGUUCGUUUGUUCAACGAUUAAUAGUCCUACGUGAUCUGAGUUCAGACCGG